rnacentral:rRNA from 1 species
UAUCUAGCAGAAUGAGGCACUGGAAAGUGCAGACCAUAGAGGGUAAAAGUCCCGUAUGCGAAAGAUAUGAAGACAGGCCGGAAUCCAGAGUACCACGGGGCACGUGAAACCUUGUGGGAAGCAGGGAGGACCACCUCUCAAGGCUAAAUACUAACUGGUGACCGAUAGUGAAGCAGUACCGUGAGGGAAAGGUGAAAAGAACCCCGGGAGGGGAGUGAAAUAGAACCUGAAACCCUAUGUUUACAAGCAGUUGAAGGGCGUUAAGGCCCGACAGCGUACUUUUUGUAGAACGGUCCGGCGAGUUAUAGUAUGCAGCGAGGUUAAGUACUAAAGGUACGGAGCCGAAGGGAAACCGAGUCUUAACAGGGCGAAGCGGACUCUUUGAGUCCGAAAUUAGUUGCAUGCCAUAGACCCGAAACCGGGUGACCUAUCCAUGGACAGGUUGAAGCUAGAGUAAAAUCUGGUGGAGGACCGAACCACAUGACCGUUGAAAAGGUCUGGGAUGAGCUGUGGAUGGCGGAGAAAUUCCAAUCGAACUCGGAGAUAGCUGGUUCUCCCCGAAAUAGCUUUAGGGCUAGCCUCAAGGGAAAAUCAUACGGAGGUAAAGCACUGAAUGGGCUAGGGGCCUUACCGGGUUACCGAACCCUAUCAAACUCUGAAUGCCGUAAUGAUGUUACUUGGGAGUCAGACAGCGUGAGAUAAGUUUCGUUGUCAAAAGGGAAACAGCCCAGACCAUCAGCUAAGGUCCCAAAAUCACAGUUAAGUGGGAAAGGAUGUGGGUUUGCUAAGACAACUAGGAUGUUGGCUUAGAAGCAGCCACUCAUUAAAAGAGUGCGUAAUAGCUCACUAGUCGAGUGAGCCUGCGCCGAAAAUUACCGGGGCUAAACUGUGUACCGAAGCUAUGGAUGCUAGAGACUAGAAACGAGAAACUAGAAACUAGAGAAAAGCUGGAGGAAAGAAUGAUAAAAGAUUUUAGAGACUUAAUUGUGUAUAGAAAAGCAUAUCAGAUAUCGCUGGAUAUACAUAAAGUGAGUUUAAAAAUCCCCCAGUUUGAAAAGGAUGAACUUGGAAGCCAAAUAAGGAGAGCGUCAAAAUCAGUAGCUAUGAAUAUAGCGGAGGGUUUUGGGAGAAAUUCUUCCUUAGCGGAUUUUAAAAGAUUUAUGAUAAUGGCACAAGGUUCAUGUGAUGAAGUAAGAGUGCAGCUGGAUUAUUGCAGGGACUUGGGAUAUAUAACGGAGGCAGAACAUGAUGCAUAUGAGAAUGCAUAUGUAGAAGUUGGGAAGAUGCUGACGAAGAUGCUGACGAAGAUGCUGACGAAGAUGCUCAAGACAUGGCAAAAACAAUCUGGUAUCUAGUAUCUGGUUUCUAGUCUCUAGUAUGGUAGGGGAGCUUACUGUAGUAGGCUGAAGCACGACUGGAAAGACGUGUGGACGAGGCAGUAGUGAGAAUGCCGGAAUAAGUAGCGAGAGUAAAGUGAGAAUCUUUACCGUCGAAAACCUAAGGUUUCCUGGGGAAGGUUCGUCCGCCCAGGGUAAGUCGGGACCUAAGCCGAGGCCGAAAGGCGUAGGUGAUGGACAACAGGUUGAAAUUCCUGUACUGCCGUUACUCGAUAAAAGAGAGGUGGGGACGCAGGAGGAUAAGUUAAGCGAGCAGCUGGAAAAGCUCGUCCAAGGGAGGUAGAUAGCGUGGUAGGCAAAUCCGCCAUGCGUUUCGAAGGCCUGAUGGGGAGGGAAAAUAGAGUACCGAAGUAACAGAUUCCACACUGACAAGAAAAGCCACUAUCGAGAGUGAAGGCACCCGUACCGCAAACCGACACAGGUAGGUGAGGAGAGAAUCCUAAGACGAACGGGAGAAGCAUUGUUAAGGAACUCGGCAAAUUGACCCCGUAAGUUAGCAAUAAGGGGUGCCGAUUCUAGAAACUGGAUACGAGAAACUAGAAACUGGAAGAAGGAAGGCGUAAAAGCUGGACAGUAAUCUGGUAUCUAGUGUCUGGUAUCUGGUUUCUAGGAUUGGCCGCAGAGAAUAGGCCCAAGCAACUGUUUAUCAAAAACACAGGUCUCUGCUAAAUCGAAAGAUGAAGUAUAGGGGCUGACGCCUGCCCGGUGCUGGAAGGUUACGGGAAUCUGUUAUUCGCAAGGAGAAGCAGUGAACUUAAGCCCCAGUAAACGGCGGCCGUAACUAUAACGGUCCUAAGGUAGCGAAAUUCCUUGUCAGGUAAGUUCUGACCCGCACGAAUGGCGUAAUGACUUGGGCACUGUCUCAACAAUGUACCCGGCGAAAUUGUAGUACUUGUGAAGAUGCAAGUUACCCGCGACUAGACGGAAAGACCCCAUGGAGCUUUACUGUAGCCUGAUACUGGGUUUCGGUAUUCUUUGUAUAGGAUAGGUGGGAGACUGAGAACUGCUGGCGCCAGCCGGCAGGGAGUCAACGUUGGAAUACCACUCUAAGAGUACUGGAACUCUAACUGGACGCUGUAAACCAGCGUCAGGACACUGUCAGGUGGGCAGUUUGACUGGGGCGGUCGCCUCCCAAAGAGUAACGGAGGCGUUCAAAGGUUACCUCAGCGCGGUUGGAAAUCGCGUUAACAGAGUGCAAAGGCAUAAGGUAGCCUGACUGUGAGAGCAACAACUCGAGCAGGUACGAAAGUAGGACUUAGUGAUCCGGUGGUAUGAAAGUGGAAUUGCCAUCGCUCAACGGAUAAAAGCUACCCUGGGGAUAACAGGCUUAUCUCCCCCAAGAGUCCACAUCGACGGGGAGGUUUGGCACCUCGAUGUCGGCUCAUCGCAUCCUGGAGCUGAAGAAGGUUCCAAGGGUUUGGCUGUUCGCCAAUUAAAGCGGUACGCGAGCUGGGUUCAGAACGUCGUGAGACAGUUCGGUCCCUAUCUGUCGCGGGCGCAGGAUAUUUGAAGGGAUCUGUCCUUAGUACGAGAGGACCGGGAUGGACGAACCUCUAGUGUACCAGUUGUCAUGCCAAUGGCACGGCUGGGUAGCCAAGUUCGGCAGGGAUAAACGCUGAAGGCAUCUAAGCGUGAAACCCACCCUAAGAUGAGAUAUCCCUGUGCUAGAGACUAGAGACCAGAAACGAGAGACUAGAGUGAAAAGAAAAGCUUAAAGAAUAGAGGUUUUUAAUGUAACUCUGGUUUCCGGUAUCUAGUUUCCAGUCUCUAGCACGUAAGACCCCAUGUAGACUACAUGGUAGAUAGGCCGGGUGUGUAAGUGCAGUAAUGCACUCAGCUGACCGGUACUAAUAGGUCGAGGGCUUGACCAAAUGAACAGGAAGUA